rnacentral:tRNA from 1 species
GGUGGGGUGGCUGAGUGGUCGAAAGCGCCGCACUCGAAAUGCGGUAUAUCCGCAAGGGUAUCGGGGGUUCGAAUCCUCCCCCCACCGCCA